GACGAACGCUGGCGGCGUGCCUAACACAUGCAAGUCGAACGAACCGACCAGGAGUUUGCGCGUUCGACGUUAGCGGCGGACGGGUGAGUAACAUGUGGACAACCUACCUAUACGACUGGGAUAACUUCGGGAAACCGGAGCUUAGACCGGAUAACAUAUUGAACCGCAUGGUUCAACAGUGAAAGUCGGUAGUUCGUUCAGUAAUAGAUGACCCCGGGCCGCAUUAGUUUGUUGUUAAGGUAGCGGCUUACCAAGGCAAGGAUGCUCAGCCGACCUCAGAGCGUGGUCGGCCACCCGGGAACUGAGACACGGUCCCGACUCCGGCGGGAGGCCGCAGUCGGGACUCCUACGCGAUGGGGGAAUGCCUGACGGAGCAACGUCGGGUGAGUGAUGAAGGUCCUCGGAUCGUAAAGCUCUGUUAGUCGUAGAGAACAAAUGUGUAAUUAACCGUGCACGUCUUGACGGUACCGGGUCAAAAAGCCCCGGCUAACUCCGUG
rnacentral:rRNA from 1 species